rnacentral:rRNA from 1 species
GCGACCGUACUCCCCAGGCGGAAUGCUUAAUCCGUUAGGUGUGUCACCGAACAGUAUACUGCCCGACGACUGGCAUUCAUCGUUUACGGUGUGGACUACCAGGGUAUCUAAUCCUGUUUGCUCCCCACACUUUCGUACCUCAGCGUCAGUAUCGAGCCAGUGAGCCGCCUUCGCCACUGGUGUUCCUCCAAAUAUCUACGAAUUUCACCUCUACACUUGGAAUUCCACUCACCUCUCUCGAACUCAAGACCAGGAGUUUAUGAGGCAGUUCCAGGGUUAAGCCCUGGGAUUUCACCCCAUACUUUCUGAUCCGCCUACGUACGCUUUACGCCCAGUAACUCCGAACAACGCUAGCCCCCUCCGUAUUACCGCGGCUGCUGGCACGGAGUUAGCCGGGGCUUCUUUACUAGGUACCGUCAUUAUCAUCCCUAGCGAAAGAGCUUUACGAUCCUAAGACCUUCAUCACUCACGCGGCAUGGCUAGAUCAGGCUUUCGCCCAUUGUCUAAGAUUCCCCACUGCUGCCUCCCGUAGGAGUCUGGGCCGUGUCUCAGUCCCAGUGUUGCUGAUCAUCCUCUAAAACCAGCUAAAGAUCGUAGACUUGGUAGGCCAUUACCCCACCAACUAUCUAAUCUUACGCGGGCUAAUCCUUCACCGAUAAAUCUUUCCCCCGAAGGGCGUAUAUGGUAUUACUCUCAGUUUCCCGAGGCUAUUCCAUAGUGAAGGGUAUAUUCCCACGCGUUACUAACCCGUCCGCCGCUCCACCCGAAGGUAGCGCUCGACUUGCAUGUGUUAGGCCUGCCGCCAGCGUUCGUUAUGAGCCAGGAUCAAACUCU